rnacentral:tRNA from 1 species
GGGGUCGUGGUGUAGCCUGGUCUAACACAUCUCCCUGUCACGGAGAAGACCGCGGGUCCAAAUCCCGUCGACCCCG